GAUGAGAUUCCCCUAAAUUCCAAGGCCAGAGAAGAACUUCUUAUGUCGCUCAACAUAUUCAAGUUUGGAACAGAAAAGCCAUAUUCAGAUUCCUUCCAGAUUUGAUUCUUGAGUGAAAUGCAAGUCAUCUGGGUUGAGAAGCUUAGUGCUGUUUGAUCUCCACAGGAGGAAAAUGGCCAUUAGACAAGACCAAUUUUCAUGUCAACGGUCUAAAAUUUUUAG